rnacentral:tmRNA from 1 species
UUGCUUGAAGAUUCGCCUGCGAACCCUUAUCCUUGGCGGGUCGACAGCGUGCAAGCGUUGUCGGCUAUGUCGGUAGAGUAUCGGGUGGAAUAGGCAUUUCGGACCCGGGGGGCAGUACCCCGGCGCCUCCACCAUCAGCAGCGGACGCUAGGGUCUCCGCGAUUGUUGAUGGGGGCGAAAUAGGAUCGACGAGUGCAGUAAAGUCCCGGUUGCCGAUCGGUAUGAGACCACCGCAAAGGCUCGUUCACACAAGUGCCAACGAUAAUCAGGCUCUUGCGAUUGCCGCGUAACUGACGGCCUAACGGUCAGACGUUACUAGGACAAAAGCGCGGUCGGACCCAACCGGGCAACAGAAUGGGAUUCCAGCGGUACGGGGGGCACCGGGCAACAGAAGCUCCCCACU